AUUGAACGCUGGCGGCAUGCUUUACACAUGCAAGUCGAACGGUAACAGGUUAAGCUGACGAGUGGCGAACGGGUGAGUAAUGCAUCGGAACGUGCCCGAUCGUGGGGGAUAACACUUCGAAAGAAGUGCUAAUACCGCAUACGAUCUGAGGAUGAAAGCGGGGGACCGUAAGGCCUCGCGCGAUCGGACCGGCCGAUGUCAGAUUAGGUAGUUGGUGGGGUAAAGGCCCACCAAGCCGACGAUCUGUAGCUGGUCUGAGAGGACGACCAGCCACACUGGGACUGAGACACGGCCCAGACUCCUACGGGAGGCAGCAGUGGGGAAUUUUGGACAAUGGGCGCAAGCCUGAUCCAGCAAUGCCGCGUGCAGGAAGAAGGCCUUCGGGUUGUAAACUGCUUUUGUACGGAGCGAAAAGGCUCCCUCUAAUACAGGGGGCUCAUAACGGUACCGUAAGAAUAAGCACCGGCUAACUACGUGCCAGCCGCCGCCGUAA
rnacentral:rRNA from 1 species